UUCUCUGCUAAAAGUAUUAACGUGUUCUUAGAUUUACUCCUGUAUCUCGUAUUCGUUCCUCUAUUGAAGACUUAAUUUGGUCAGCCAUUUUUGGAGUAUGAUAUUUGUUAUCCCUUUUUAUUGUUUUUAUUUCAAGUAUUCGUUCCUCUAUUGAAGACUUAAUUUGGUCAGCCGUUUCUCGUAUUCGUUCCUGUAUCUCGUAUUCGUUCCUCUAUUCAAAUAAAUUUUAUUUUUGUCGGACUCUUAUUUUGCUAUAUGAAAUGAACUGAUCUAUAGACAAUUUGAUUACUUUUCAAUCGAAGAUCUCCGCAACAAUGGACAACAAUGGCCGCAAAAGAAUUGUUGAUCCCGAAGAGGGUACCAAAAAAACAUCUAUAUGUUGACAGCCAAAGUCCCAACGGCCAACGCAUAAGGCAUUAACUGUAAAUUGGAGCAAUAUGUUGAUGCUCGGUACUUUCUGGGUGCUUUCUGGAUUCAACCAGUGGAAGGCCGAGGGACAAUAUAGAUGAAAUCAUGUUGAGGUCAUAAAAUAAUACCGACGACGGACUCUGCUUCUCUCAUUCGAAAUCAACUUAGGUCUUAUUGGUGCAUCGAAACGAGUUUUGCAACUCUUAUUAUUGUUUAUCGCUGGGUAACAAAAGAGAUUUUUGGCCGGGGUGUUUUUUCUAUUUUUCCUUCACAGGGUGGACAAAAUUGAUGAGGAAGAACAUCAUGAAGACUAUUAAUGUAUUUUUCUAAUGUGUGCGAUCUGUUGAAUUGGUACCGUAAUUUCUUAGACGGAAGCCUGGAACUGGGUUGAAGAAGAUCAGGCUAAUAAUGAAAAAUUUGUUAAGCUGGAGCUGAUCUCAAAGGCGCAUAGAGGUGCUUUUGUUGUUGACUUUUAGUAGGCGGAUGGUGUCGACUAACUCUUUUUUGUCAGUGACUGACUCCGUCACUUGAAAAAUGGUUCUUGAGCAAGGUUUAAUUCAUGCUGUGUCCGUUAGAGCUUGAGGUUUUUUUUUCCUUUCACUUUUUCAAGUACUAUGUUAUUCUCCUUUGCCAUUGUUGUCUUAUCUAACUUGAUAGGGAGUGUAUGAGUGAAGUAAUUCUUAUAUUAUAUAUAUGUUGGUGUUUCUUGCAACACCAUGUUGAAAUGGUUUAGCCAAUGGUUAAACAGAGGCGUCUGGGACCAGAUAUUGUUGAAAUGGUUCAACCAAGAAGAUGUGUGACCAGCUUACUCGGAAUAAACAUGUACUGCUAAAAAAAUUGUAAUUAGUUAGUUUGUGAUUUGUGAUUUCUACACUGAACCAGAUACGGCGGAAUAAUAUACACUGAAAGUCAAUUUCCAGUAAAAAAUUUCUUUGUAAUGCACAUACCAAGUGCUGUCCAUAGUGCUUAGAUGGAUUCUACUUGAAUUUUCGAUGAGAACAAAAAUCUAAUGUACAUUGGCAUUUUAAAUGCAACUUAUGGACCAUCAUUAA